CCCUCUGAAGGUGGAUCGUGACAGAAAUGGUGGUGGCACCGGCUAGGUGCCACGUGACAGAAAUGGUAGAGUUCGCCGGAUAGGUUCUAUUUCUGGAGAGAGAGAGAGGUAGAUUUUUAUGUUUAUUAUUAAGUUAGUUUCAGCUUCUGAUAGCAGGUUAUUAAGAGUUUACUUGAGGAGAGGAUUACGGAAUUUUAGUCUAUAGUGGAGGAAGUCUUUGAGAUUUUUUUUUUGACGUAACAGAUGUUUAUUUGAGGAUACUUGUAAGGAUAAAGUUUAUAGUGAUAAGUUGUUUUAAGUCGUUGAAUUUAUUGUAGAUUUAUAUCGGGGAUUAUUACGUGAGGAGAAUACGUUAUAAGUUAAAUGCUUAUUAGAGAUAAUGCAAGUGGUUUAAUUUAAUUGAAGUUCAUUUUAAGAUUGUAGGUUAAGAGAAUUAUAAUUUAAAAUAAAGUUUUUUGUCGUAAAUAGGAAUUAUUUUCAAGUGAAGUUUGUUUUGUUUUCGUGCGCGUAGGAGACGAGACGUACGAAUUAAAUCAGUCGAGGGAAGGAUAAACGUUAGAAAGGAAUUAAAGAGAAAACGAGAGUUUAUGUAAAAGAGAGUUAUAGAAUUUAUAGUGAUGUUUUGUUUUAAUUAGAAAAAUGUUGAGAGUUGUUUCAGAACGACACGUCAGUGGACGUGGCAGAAUGAACACGUGACGGGGAGGUGCUGAGACCUAGCGGAGAACGGAGGAACCGCAAGCGAGGGUUGGCGCACCUGAUGGAAUUCGGUGACGUCACGAGCACGUACAGAGACGUGGACGGCCGUGACCUUGUUUUGAUCAGCUGUACGGUAACUUAGCGAUAAGAAAAUAGACUAUUGGUUAAAUAAAUUUAAAUUUAAGUGUGUUUUAGAAGAAGAGUAACUUUCAGUAUAUUCCUUAAGAUGAGCUGAGCAGCAGUCCAGUUUACAAGAUGACAAGAGUUCGAGAGACAAGAUACAAGAUCACUGAAACAAGAGCCAAGACUGAAGAUUCAAGAGAAGAGAAAGCUGGCAGCCAUGGACUUACAAGUGGAGAUUAAUAAGGUCAUGUAAAGUUUUAUUUUUUUUAUGGAAGACAGUAACUGGAGUUUUUUUUUGUUAUAAACAUUAUUUACAGAACUUUUUAGGUUAUAGUAAUGUAAUGGAACUAGUGAGUUGUGGUAGCUGUCAAAAAGAACUAAUACCUUAAGUUUAAUUUUUAAAGUUAAUUUUCUUAAUUUACAGAGGGAUUAGUAGUUUUUUUUAAACCUUAUUUAGGUUGGAAUUUAAAUACAAUAGCUUAUUAUAAAUGUGUACGAACAGUUCAAGUUCACAGUACUGAUAGGUAGGUCAGAUGAUCUUAUUGAUUUUGAUGAUUUGUUGUUUUGAGUUGAUUUUUAGGUGUUGUGAAUUAGACAAUGAAAUAGUUCUGAAAACUUAAAUUAUUUCAAGCUAAGAAAUAGUAAAGUUAAUUGUAACUCAAAGGACACCAGAAUUUAAUUUUUUUUUGAAUUAGUAAUGUUUGAAAAUUUUAUACUUUACAAGAAAGGUUAUAAACAAACAGAUCGGAUGGAACAAGGAUGCAGUAAAUCACAAUUUCAUUUAGAAUUAUUGAUUAGCUUUUGAGGUUAUGAAGUAAAAGUAAUUAUAAUUUAAAAGUUUGAAUAAAAAAAUGUUUUUUUUUAUUUGUUUGAAAUAGAAAGUUUAAAAGUUAAUUAGUCAUGAUCUAGGUGGGUGAUGGGGUGGGAAUUGGCCACUCUUUUUCCCUAUAACCUCCCUAACAUGGCCUUCUAUUACAUCUAACAGAAAAAAAAAAGAAGAAAAAGAAGACUUAUUAUUAGUUAGAAUGUUUUUUUAUGAAGAUACCUGAUGAACUUUUUUUUUAUUGUUGGGAAGAAUAGUAGCAAGAUUAAUCAGAUGUUUUACUCA